AAGACGCGGCAAUGGUCUUUGCAUGCAAGAAGACUAUCUCAGGAUCUGCUGUUUCGGAUAAGCAGCACUACUUACUGAAGUUGCAGAAGAACUUCUAAGAAGUGGUCGUUCCUUUGCAGCUGCCCCAUACUGGGACUUAUUCUGAAAUCUCCUACGCAUAUGAGGAAUCUUUACUCACACACAUAAGGUGUUACGUCCCAGCAGGUCCCACUGAGCGUGCAUCCAUGCCUGUGCUGACGUUAGGCCAGUGGGUGGUAAUACACAAGAGAGGGUUCUGCACGCUGCAGGUGAUGAAGAUGGCAGCCGGUCAUCACUACAUUUGUACAAGUUAAUUUUGCAGGCUGUGCCGUGCUGAUCAGAAGCGGGGUAAACCCUUCCUUCAACUGACCUCUGUUUUCCAGCGCCUCCCUUUGGUUCGCCUUCUCCAACUUAUCAACCAGUGCUCAUCAUUCUGCCAAGAGCAGAUGCACUGCUUAUCAAAAGCAGAAUUUGCAGAAGUGAACAAAAGCAAUUACAGCUAAGUAAGCCUUUUCAACCUGAAGAGCAUGUAUGAAGAACUUAAUAAAUACCAUAGGUUUUGGGUUCGCAUGUAACAUAAGUUGAUGUUUAACAAAUUUAAGUGCUUCUAUACGUUUGGUUUAAGGUGUGACCCAUAGAGGGAGAUGUGGGAGAAAAUAUCUGAUGUUGAUGAUCUAUUAAAAUCCUGGCCUUCUGCCCUAGGAAAGUAUGCUACCUUUAGUUUGGGGUGGUUUGUGGAAGAGAGAAACUGGAUGUUGACAUAGAGAACAGAGCAGGGCAGUAAUGCUGGAGCCAAGGAAUGGUGUUUCAUGUGCAACUUCCAAUUUUGACAGUCAGCUGCUUAGCCUAAAUGUUUUCCAACAUCCAGUAUAGUAUUAAUGCUUUCUGUAUCAUUUCUCUGGCAGUUCAACAGCUUCAGCUUAAGUCAACGCUAGAUCUAUAUUUUUUUAUUAAGUUGUUGUGUUUGGAAUGUUGUGUCUGCAUCUUAAAAAAUGGUAGCUACCAUAUAAAUUGAAAAUAAAUGGUUAAA
ensembl:lncRNA